rnacentral:rRNA from 1 species
UACGAAGGGGGCUAGCGUUGCUCGGAAUCACUGGGCGUAAAGCGCACGUAGGCGGAUUGCUAAGUCAGGGGUGAAAUCCUGGAGCUCAACUCCAGAACUGCCCUUUGAUACUGGCGACCUUGAGUCCGGGAGAGGGUGAGUGGAACUGCGAGUGUAGAGGUGAAAUUCGUAGAUAUUCGCAAGAACACCAGUGGCGAAGGCGGCUCACUGGCCCGGUACUGACGCUGAGGUGCGAAAGCGUGGGGAGCAAACAGGG